UACGUAGGGUGCAAGCGUUGUCCGGAAUUAUUGGGCGUAAAGAGCUCGUAGGCGGUCUGUCGCGUCGGCUGUGAAAUCCCGAGGCUCAACCUCGGGUCUGCAGUCGAUACGGGCAAACUAGAGUAUUGCAGGGGAGACUGGAAUUCCUGGUGUAGCGGUGAAAUGCGCAGAUAUCUGGAGGAACACCGGUGGCGAAGGCGGCAUCCUGGACCGGCAUUGACGCUGAGGCGCGAAAGCCAGGGGAGCAAACGGG
rnacentral:rRNA from 1 species